rnacentral:rRNA from 1 species
UACAGAGGGUGCAAGCGUUAAUCGGAAUUACUGGGCGUAAAGCGUGCGUAGACGGUUAUGUAAGUCGGGUGUGAAAACUCGGGGCUUAACCCCGAGCCUGCUUCCGAUACGGGCUGACUAGAGGUAUGCAGGGGGAGAACGGAAUUCCUGGUGUAGCGGUGAAAUGCGCAGAUAUCAGGAGGAACACCGGUGGCGAAGGCGGGGUCUCUGGGCCGAUACUGACGCUGGAGGAGCGAAAGCGUGGGGAGCGAACAGG